rnacentral:lncRNA from 1 species
UUGAGGUGUUGGGAACACUGGGUCUGUAGUCUGUGUUGAGGUGUGGGGAACACUGGGUCUGUCUUACUGUGUUGAGGUGUGGGGAACACUGGGUCUGUAGUCUAUCUUACUGUGUUGAGGUGUGGGGAACACUGGGUCUGUAGUCUGUCUUACUGUGUUGAGGUGUGGGGAACACUGGGUCUGUCUUACUGUGUUGAGGUGUGGGGAACACUGGGUCUGUCUUACUGUGUUGAGGUGUGGGGAACACUGGGUCUGUCUUACUGUGUUGAGGUGUGGGGAACACUGGGUCUGUAGUCUAUCUUACUGUGUUCAGGUGUGGGGAACACUGGGUCUGUAGUCUGUCUUACUGUGUUGAGGUGUGGGGAACACUGGGUCUGUCUUACUGUGUUGAGGUGUGGGGAACACUUGGUCUGUAGUCUAUCUUACUGUGUUGAGGUGUGGGGAACACUGGGUCUGUAGUCUGUCUUACUGUGUUGAGGUGUGGGGAACACUGGGUCUGUAGUCUGUCUUACUGUGUUGAGGUGUGGGGAACACUGGGUCUGUCUUACUGUGUUGAGGUGUGGGGAACACUGGGUCUGUCUUACUGUGUUGAGGUGUGGGGAACACUUGGUCUGUAGUCUAUCUUACUGUGUUGAGGUGUGGGGAACACUGGGUCUGUAGUCUGUCUUACUGUGUUGAGGUGUGGGGAACACUGGGUCUGUAGUCUGUGUUGAGGUGUGGGGAACACUGGGUUUGUCUUACUGUGUUGAGGUGUGGGGAACACUGGGUCUGUCUUACUGUGUUGAGGUGUGGGGAACACUGGGUCUGUCUUACUGUGUUGAGGUGUGGGGAACACUGGGUCUGUCACUGUGUUGAGGUGUGGGGAACACUGGGUCUGUAGUCUGUCUUACUGUGUUGAGGUGUGGGGAACACUGGGUCUGUAGUCUGUGUUGAGGUGUGGGGAACACUGGGUCUGUAGUCUGUGUUGAGGUGUGGGAAACACUGGGUCUGUAGUCUGUUGAGGUGUGGGGAUCACUGGGUCUGUAGUCUGUCUUACUUUGUUGAGGUGUGGGGAACACUGGGUCUGUAGUCUAUCUUACUGUGUUGAGGUGUGGGGAACACUGGGUCUGUAGUCUAUCUUACUGUGUUGAGGUGUGGGGAACACUGGGUCUGUAGUCUGUGUUGAGGUGUGGGGAACACUGGGUCUGUAGUCUGUGUUGAGGUGUGGGGAACACUGGGUCUGUAGUCUGUGUUGAGGUGUGGGGAACACUGGGUCUGUAGUCUGUUUUGAGGUUUGGGGAACACCGGGUCUGUAGUCUGUCUUACUGUGUUGAGGUGUGGGGAACACUGGGUCUGUAGUCUGUCUUACUGUGUUGAGGUGUGGGGAACACUGGGUCUGUCUUACUGUGUUGAGGUGUGGGGAACACUGGG